UGGGGGAUAUUGCACAAUGGGCGAAAGCCUGAUGCAGCGACGCCGCGUGGGGGAUGAAGGCCUUCGGGUUGUAAACUUCUUUUGCUCUGAACAAGGCGCACCAUGGGGUGUGUUGAGUGUAGGGGUUGAUUAGCGCCGGCUAACUACGUGCCAGCAGCCGCGGUAAUACGUAGGGCGCGAGCGUUGUCCGGAAUUAUUUGGCGGAAAGGGCUUGUAGGUGGCUGGUUGCGUCUGUCGUGAAAGCUCAUGGCUUAACUGUUGGUUUGCGGUGGGUACGGGCUGGCUUGAGUGCAGUAGGGGAGGCUGGAAUUCCUGGUGUAGCGGUGGAAUGCGCAGAUAUCAGGAGGAAUACCGGUGGCGAAGGCGGGUCUCUGGGCUGUUACUGACACUGAGGAGCGAAAGCAUGGGGAGCGAACAGG
rnacentral:rRNA from 1 species